rnacentral:misc_RNA from 1 species
GAUGAAGAACGUAGCGAAAUGCGAUAAGUAAUGUGAAUUGCAGAAUUCAGUGAAUCAUCGAAUCUUUGAACGCACAUUGCGCCCCUUGGUAUUCCGAGGGGCAUGCCUGUUCGAGCGUCAUUAUAACCCCUCAAGCUCAGCUUGGUAUUGGGGCCUGCCGCACGGGCAGCCCUUAAAAUCAGUGGCGGUGCCAUCUGGCUCUAAGCGUAGUAAUUCUUCUCGCUAUAGAGUCCCGGUGGAUGCUUGCCAUUAACCCCCAAUUUUCUAUGGUUGACCUCGGAUCAGGUAGGGAUACCCGCUGAACUUAAGCAUAUCAAUAAGCGGAGGA